GUAUUAGUAGCUCAGCCCAAGAGCACCAGUCUUGUAAGCUGGAGGUCGGGGGUUAACCACCCCCCUACUGCA
rnacentral:tRNA from 1 species